GUCUAUGUUACAGAUUUUCCAAUUACUCAUUCCUUUGGUCUCUUCCCAGAUGCUGAGCAACUCCGCCUCCCACCUUCCAACAGGCGCGCACUCUGCCCCUCGGGACGCGGCCGCCGUCGGCGAGUCUGGCUGUCCUUGCGUCGUGCCUGGGUGCCAGCCUCCCGGGUGAACGAGGGACAUGUUUAUCAGUCCCUCGGGGAGAGGAGUGGGGGCUCGAAUCGGAUUUCCUCCUUGGACAAGACGCGGCCGUUCCUCCACCACCUCCAUGGACUUAGAGUCCAGGGGAAAAUGAACGCUGCUUCUCUUUCUUUACCCAAGUCUGCCUUAGGCAUCCAUCUCACAGUUUCCGCGUCCACGUGGGGGGCGGAAGGACAGGACGAGCCACAGUCCCACUAAUUCCCAGUGUCUGCUGCAGCUCAGCGUCCAGCUCUAUCACGUACACUAAUUCUUGAAAGAUGAAAGAAAGAGAAGUCCCUGAGUAGAAACUACAAGAGCCAAGCAGAACAUUGUACUAUGUGAGGACAUCAUCUGUCCCUGAACUCUAAAUGGAAGAUCAUGCAAAUAGUGGACUGAAGUCAUCCCAGCCUUCAAAAGAGCCACCCUGGGGGAAGAAAUAACAGAAAGGGAUAAAAAGCAGUCUUCGGUAACCCAAUCUGUGUCUUCCUGUGUGACUUCCCUAUCCUGCCUGUCCUAACACCAACUUGCCCGUAAAGACUCAUAGAGUAGAAACAGAGCAUAGAAAUGAAGAAGUGGAAAAGGGGGAAAAAUGGAGGAAACGCACAAGGCUGUGUGUGUCUACAACUAGCAGAGAGCAACUCCAAUGUCUCUCUGACACAGCUGGAGGAAGGGAUGCAACAAACUCAGAAACCAGAGAGCCCUGCACAAGAAACAAGUCAGAUGGAAGCUUCCCAAGGAUAGAGAGCUUCAGCACAUUAAGAAACAGACUAACUGGGCAGGACUUCUGAUCCCUGCCAUGAACAAUAACGUGGAUAUGACUGGCAGAAAGCUUUUGGAAGGAAACAGCCUUGAGAAUGGUCUGGAGAUGUGGAUUUUAUUCAGGAACCAUUGCAAAUCUGUUAUAUCUCCUAGAAUAAGUGGCUUCCAUUCUGCCAUGAAGACCCCAGUUUUCUCAGCUGUCAAAUCAAUUGCAGUGCUAUUCAGAAAUGUUCAGCCACAAAUCAUCAAAGAUAUGGAGGGGCCAUCUGCACAGGUUUCUUAAAAUGAAGCAGAUUUUAUGUUUUAGACAUUGAGUCUCUGUAUGGUGUUGGGAUGGUAUCAUGGCU
rnacentral:lncRNA from 13 species